AUUGAACGCUGGCGGCAGGCUUAACACAUGCAAGUCGAGCGGAGAUGAGGUGCUCGCACCUUAUCUUAGCGGCGGACGGGUGAGUAAUGCUUAGGAAUCUGCCUAUUAGUGGGGGACAACAUUCCGAAAGGAAUGCUAAUACCGCAUACGCCCUACGGGGGAAAGCAGGGGAUCUUCGGACCUUGCGCUCAUAGAUGAGCCGAAGUCGGAUUAGCUAGUUGGUGGGGUAAAGGCCUACCAAGGCGUCGAUCUGUAACGGGUCUGAGAGGAUGAUCCGCCACACUGGGACUGAGACACGGCCCAGACUCCUACGGGAGGCAGCAGUGGGGAAUAUUGGACAAUGGGCGGAAGCCUGAUCCAGCCAUGCCGCGUGUGUGAAGAAGGCCUUUUGGUUGUAAAGCACUUUAAGCGAGGAGGAGGCUACCUGGAUUAAUACUCUAGGAUAGUGGACGUUACUCGCAGAAUAAGCACCGGCUAACUCUGUGCCAGCCGCCGCAGUAACAC
rnacentral:rRNA from 1 species